rnacentral:tRNA from 1 species
GCUCCCUUAGCUCAGCAGGAUAGAGCGUCCCCUCCUAAGGGGAAGGCCACUGGUUCAACUCCAGUAGGGAGCGCCA